UACGUAGGGAGCAAGCGUUGUCCGGAAUCAUUGGGCGUAAAGCGCGCGUAGGUGGCCUCAUAAGUCCGCUGUGAAAGUCAAAGGCUCAACCUUUGAAAGCCGGUGGAUACUGUGAGGCUAGAGUACGGAAGAGGCGAGUGGAAUUCCUGGUGUAGCGGUGGAAUGCGCAGAUAUCAGGAGGAACACCAAUAGCGAGGGCAGCUCGCUGGGACGUUACUGACACUGAGGCGCGAAAGCGUGGGGAGCGAACAGG
rnacentral:rRNA from 1 species